AUUGAACGCUGGCGGCAGGCCUAACACAUGCAAGUCGAACGAGUGGCGGACGGGUGAGUAAUGUCUGGAACACUGCCCGAUGGAGGGGGAUCCCUACUGGACACGGUAGCUAAUACCGCAUACCAUCGGGUGUGCCCAGAGGGGAUUAGCUAGUAGGUGGGGUAACGGCUCACCUAGGCGACGAUCCCUAGCGGGUCUGAGAGGAUGACCAGCCACACUGGAACGGAGACACGGUCCAGACUCCUACGGGAGGCAGCAGUGGGGAAUAUUGCACAAUGGGCGCAAGCCUGAUGCAGCCAUGCCGCGUGUAUGAAGAAGGCCUUCGGGUUGUAAAGUACUUUCAGCGAGGAGGCGUGACGCGCAGAAGAAGCACCGGCUAACUCCGUGCCAGCAGCCGCGGUAAUUC
rnacentral:rRNA from 1 species